rnacentral:rRNA from 1 species
CCUACGGGAGGCAGCAGUGAGGAAUAUUGGUCAAUGGACGCAAGUCUGAACCAGCCAUGCCGCGUGCAGGAAGACGGCUCUAUGAGUUGUAAACUGCUUUUGUACAAGGGUAAACCUGAAUACGUGUAUUCAGCUGAAAGUACUGUACGAAUAAGGAUCGGCUAACUCCGUGCCAGCAGCCGCGGUAAUACGGAGGAUCCAAGCGUUAUCCGGAUUUAUUGGGUUUAAAGGGUGCGUAGGCGGAACAUCAAGUCAGCGGUAAAAAUUCGGGGCUCAACCCCGUCGUGCCGGUGAAACUGAUGGUCUUGAGUGGGCGAGAAGUAUGCGGAAUGCGUGGUGUAGCGGUGAAAUGCAUAGAUAUCACGCAGAACUCCGAUUGCGAAGGCAGCAUACCGGCGUACAACUGACGCUGAAGCACGAAAGCGUGGGUAUCGAACAGGAUAAGAUACCCGAGUAGUC